AGCAGCAGCCGCGGUAAUACGUAGGUGGCAAGCGUUGUCCGGAAUUAUUGGGCGUAAAGGGCUCGCAGGCGGUUUCUUAAGUCUGAUGUGAAAGCCCCCGGCUCAACCGGGGAGGGACAUUGGAAACUGGGAAACUUGAGUGCAGAAGAGGAGAGUGGAAUUCCACGUGUAGCGGUGAAAUGCGUAGAGAUGUGGAGGAACACCAGUGGCGAAGGCGACUCUCUGGUCUGUAACUGACGCUGAGGAGCGAAAGCGUGGGGAGCGAACAGGAUUAGAUACCCCUGUAGUCCCUGUCUCUUAUAC
rnacentral:rRNA from 1 species